rnacentral:lncRNA from 1 species
ACAUCACAUACAUCAAUCCCCUGUCAAUCAUUUAUUACUUCUCACCAGCUAACACCGUCUGGCGAUUCGCUGCAGGCACGCGGUCGCCUUGGGCUUCGCCUUGGCCUUGCUGAAACACCAGCUCACUGCCAAGACGACGGCGGUAGCCAGAACGAUGCAGCCAGCCAUGGCGGCCGUCCGCUGGCCCGGGGUGGCCUCCUGCCACAAGGAGGACCCCCGGGGUAAUUGCCGUAGAGCACCGCGCUGGACAUGCCUGCCAUAAAACAAUAAGUGAAUUAGAUAGAGACAAGUGAAUUAGAGAGAGGGAGAGGGAGACACGGAUAGAGAAAGGGAGAGAUAGGGAGAGUGAGACACGGACAGAGAAAGGGAGAGGGAGACGUGAUGGAGAAAGGCCUACCUGAUCGCUGGUGCUGGGGCUCGCGCUGGGGCUCUUGGUCGCACGAACCACAACCUCCUGCUCCUGAGAGAGAGAGAGACAAACAGAGCUCGAAGGAAAAUUACAACCUGCUGAUGGGCUGACUGGCUGGUGAUGGUUGUGUGCCCUGCACUAUAUAGCCCCGGGCCUCUCACAAAGCCUUGAUUUUGCCCAGAGAGGAAAGUGUGUUGAC